UACGUAGGGGGCAAGCGUUGUCCGGAAUCAUUGGGCGUAAAGAGCGUGUAGGCGGCCCGAUAAGUCCGCUGUGAAAGUCCAGGGCUCAACCCUGGAAUGCCGGUGGAUACUGUUGGGCUCGAAUCCGGAAGAGGUGAGUGGAAUUCCUGGUGUAGCGGUGAAAUGCGUAGAUAUCGGGAGGAACACCAGUGGCGAAGGCGACUACCUGGCCUGUUCUUGACGCUGAGGCGCGAAAGCCAGGGGAGCGAACGGG
rnacentral:rRNA from 1 species